rnacentral:tRNA from 1 species
GAGGGUAUAGCUCAAGUGGCAGGGCACAUGCUUAGCAUGCAUCAAGGUUCUGGGUUCAAUCCCCAGUACCUCCU